rnacentral:sRNA from 1 species
CCUUAGCCCCGAUAGCAGCGGAAAUCCUUUCAUGCAGCGUAGCGGAAUAAAAGAUUGCAGCGGAUAGCGGGAUUAGCU